CUAAUUUUAGUUUUCAUAUCGGAGAUAACGAGAUACAAAGGCGAUUUCAGACUCGAUCUCCUCCAGGCAAUUUUGGACUCGAUCCAAGCUCAUCCAUCAACAGUUUCUUCAAAUCUGAAAAUCGUUAAUUGGAAGGCUUAAUUUUGGACUCCAGGCUCAACAACAGAGCGGCGUGCUAAUUAAUCCUUUCGAGUUUCUCCAAAUUGAAAAUCGGCAGUUGUGACUUUAGCUGGGCUUUACUAUUGGAGUGCUAAAUUAUCUGGAAACUACUUCGGGCCAAUUUGCUUCUUGAAUUACUGGGACUAGGGAGAUUUUAACAGUCAUGAAUCAAGAAGGGUGCUCACUUUAAAUCAAAGGGAUUUAAAGUUAUGAGAAUGACAAGCUUCAAAUGGAGAAUAGGCCGCUAGAUGUUCCGACAUCUCACUUUAAAGCUCUUCUUGAAUAUUGGAACUCCGAUCCCGCCAUGGUAAUUACAUCCAACUUUUGCCAACUUUUGGUUGGAAUAAACAAAGCUCCUGUAAAUAAACUAGAAAUUAUUAGAUGUUGGAAUGCAUGAGAAAGGGGAUUACAUGCCUUAUUCACUUUUACUUCUACCUAUAAUUUGUCUUAGUAUCAGUAGGUCAAAAAAUUAGAGCAUGUUCUAUGAAGAUCAAAUCUCCAUCAUAGAGAAGCUAUGUAAUGUUGGCAUAGUUCUCCUUUAUAAAGUAUAUAUCUGUCGAGAAAUGCAUUAGAUAUUAGAUAUGAUUUGCCUCUUACACUUUGUGUUGUUUGAAUGUCUUGGCGUACUAGAAAAGUUGUCCUUAACGUCAUUGUUACCUAAAACACAAGGCCAGGGUAUAGCCAAGGAAUUGUGGAAACAUUAAACAGGAACUCUCUCCUUAACAGCUGCACCUUGUGUGGUUAAAGAAGUUCAACAUUGUGAUGUUUUUCCUUUCUUGAACCUAGUUGAUUCCUGCUAUGGCUCUUUCUUCAUCUUUCGCCAUAUUCUGCUCCAUAUCCUUUUGGCUAAAAUCAACUAUAGUUCAUUCUGCUUCAUUGCCAAGUUGCCAGGACUUUUUGGUUGUUUUGGCAUUCAAUGGGCAGCAAGAUCAUAUUUCUAGAAUAAAAAAUAAGUGUCUGCACAAUCUAUUUCUAUGGUGUAAUAGUAGUUUGAGUUAACAAGACUUUUUUAAAAAAGAAUAAAGGAAAUUUUGGAUCCUCUGUAAAUGCUAUUGAUGAGAGAAUGCAACAACAAAUGGAGGAAAUGGAAGAGAGGAUGCAACAAAGAUUGCUGGAAAAGUUGAAUGGACAAAAGGAAGCUAUGGAACAAGAUAUUAUGAUGAACAUCGUUACAUGAAUUCAACGUCUCAACCCCGAUUUGAAGACUUGAUCGUGACAUGCUAGUAUUCAGUGCUCUUGCACCUGGUGAAGCUUCUUCUGCACAACACGAUGCUAUUCAACAAAUCAAUCGUCCAUCCGCUGGCAGUAACAAUCAAGGUGGAGUUUAUUUAUACUCUUUUGUAGGUGGAGUAGAUGAAGAAAUGAAAGACAGAGGCAGUGAUGAAAAUCUAGACCUACUUAAGAGAAUUUUGAAUUGUUGAUUGUUGUAGAUGCAUGUGGCAGUUUCUAGGAAUGUUUGUUAUCAAAACAUUUUAAAACUUUUAACUCUUGAAAUAUCAAAUGUAUGUACUUGGUAACAUUUAUCUAUGGAUAUUAUUAUA